GAAAAUAAGUGAAAAGGUGAGAUUGAAAAAAAAUAAAAACAAGUAUUUAGGUGUUUUCAUUUUUCCCAAAAUAACUUGAAGUUAUAUUUGAAAUUUUGUUGACCAAACAUUUUUUGAAUAAAGUGAAAUAAUAUUUUGAAAAAUAGUGAAAUUUUUUUAUUGCCAAACGGAUAGUACAAUAUUUUGAAAAUAAAAUUUGGUAUUAGCUUUAUCUCAUAUUUAGUGUGAGCUAUUAUCUCAUUUCAAGAUAAUUUUAUCCCAUCAUUUGUAUUAAAAUGAUGAAAUUUUUAUCUCAUAUAUUAUAAAAGAUGAGAUAAAAUAAUAUCAUGGGAUAUCUCUAUUUAUCUCAUGUAUCAAACGAUCCGUUAAAGUCAUACAUUCUUUCAAGUUUAAUCAAUUUCAAUGAUUAAAAGAAAAAAGAAUUACUAAAAAAACAAUUCACUCAUAAAAAAACAUCAAUAUAAACAAGUGAAAAUGAAACAAACUCUGAUUCUAUAACUGCAAUUAACAUGAUAAGCACUAACCACCUUGGCUACUGCAAUGUUAUUUCGGAAUGCAGGUAUUUAAUGCAGGUACUGAACAAUCCAACACUGAAACACACUUACAGAUAGCAGAACAGAGUCGCUGAUGCACUAGCCAGAUCUCAGGAAGGAAUAGCUUUUUUCGAUCAUGUACGAAUUUUGACGACUCCACCUCAGUAUGCUCACGACCUUCUUAAAGCUGAUAGACUAGGAAUCGCCUUUCCCAGAAAGGUUGCUCAUGUUUUUGUAACUAAUCCG
rnacentral:lncRNA from 1 species